GGGACAGAGCCCCCCCUCCUGGGGGCGCUGCUGAGCCCACCACCCUGCUGGACAUCCCUCAGGGCAUCAGGAGUCUGUUCAAUUCCUCCAGCUACUGGUUGGCUUCCCUGAGCCUGCUUUUGGCACAGAAUUAAAAGGGGAAAAGCAACAACAACAAGAAAAACAAAUAAGAGCUCUGUGUCUUCCUGCCUCUGCACAUCAACAGCCCUAAGUUUUGAUACAGAAGAAAGACAUCCAGGCUUCCGGGCCGGGGACUCCAGCUCAGAGCCAUAAACCCAGAGGACGUCUCCAGUGACUCAUUACUGGAAUAAAUGUUGCUAAUGUGAAAGAUCUUGCAGCACCGAGUCCUGUGAAUGAAAGCCAGAAUGACUCGUCAUUCGGGAAGGAGAGCUCACACUAAAAAGGAAGAUCAAUGUGGGAAGAAUCCAGAGAAUUCAUGAAAUACACUCAAAACCAUUCAAACGCUAUAAAGAUUCGUUUCAUAAGUAUCUUCAGUGUUUUCUUUGAUAUGGGUAUUUAAUCUAAUUUUGGGACCAUUUGUCAAGAUGAAGCAGGUUUCCUAUUUAGAGUUCCUGUGCACCCCCGCCCCCAUCCUGGCUCCCCAAAUAAAGUUGGAUUCUGAAAUGGAAAGUGAGACAAGGGAGGAGUGAUAAGAAGCGGAUGUACUGACAGAGAGAGGUGGCUUAUUUUAAUGAGCUUGGUCCCUUAAGAUUAUCAUACAUACUGGUACACAUGCAUUAGUGUACUUAAAAAUCACAGCUUUAUAUGUGUUUUUUAAAAGAAGUUAAUGCCUGCUUCUGGUAUCCAAUUCAAGAGAUACAAAGGGGACACAGAAAAAGCUAGUCCUCCCCUCCCCACCCCACCCCUUUGUCCCCCUGGUU